UCGCGUAGAAAUGUACGGUGCA
rnacentral:siRNA from 1 species